GACCUCCAGACUGAAUGCCAACGAUCGUUUCGACAUGUCCUCCCCAGCGAUAUGACAAUGGAAAACAUGGCCUCCAAAUGGGAUAGCCAAACAACAUCCUGUGGUUAAAGAUGUUUAGCUAAAUCAGGCCACGGAUCGUGACAAUAGCUGUUUCAUAACCUAGUGAGCUUAUAUUGGCAGCGUCCUGAAUCGAGCUGAACCUUCUCAAGAUGAGACACUCAUAUUGGGUUACUGAAAUUCUGCUUGGAAUCAGCAAUGACAAGGGCCAUGCUUUGUGAGCACAGAGAUCGCAGCUGCUCAGAGAGAGAAUAGCAGCACUUCCUGCAGUCGUCACGUCUGGAGAUGAAGCCGCGGACAGCAUGGAAUGAAGUUAGAUGCCUGAAAUGUCACUGAAAAAUGAAAGGGCAUGAGAGAGUGCCGCUGUGAGAACAAGAAAACAACACACAACACACAACAGAGCCA
ensembl:lncRNA